GACGAACGCUGGCGGCGUGCUUAACACAUGCAAGUCGAACGAUGAUGCCCAGCUUGCUGGGCGGAUUAGUGGCGAACGGGUGAGUAACACGUGAGUAACCUGCCCUUGACUUCGGGAUAACUCCGGGAAACCGGGGCUAAUACCGGAUAUGAGCCGUCCUCGCAUGGGGGUGGUUGGAAAGUUUUUCGGUCAGGGAUGGGCUCGCGGCCUAUCAGCUUGUUGGUGGGGUGAUGGCCUACCAAGGCGACGACGGGUAGCCGGCCUGAGAGGGCGACCGGCCACACUGGGACUGAGACACGGCCCAGACUCCUGCGGGAGGCAGCAGUGGGGAAUAUUGCACAAUGGGCGAAAGCCUGAUGCAGCGACGCCGCGUGAGGGAUGAAGGCCUUCGGGUUGUAAACCUCUUCAGCAGGGAAGAAAGCGCAAAGUGACGGUACCUGCAGA
rnacentral:rRNA from 1 species